GGAGCUCUGUCAACUUCCUCUUGUGCUCUUGUUGAUUUCAAACAUCUACUCUGGACAAACUGAAGAAGCACCAAAAGCCACAGUGACCAUCAAACCUGCUCAACAUGUGUUCAGAGGAGAGAGAGUCACUCUGAGAUGUAACAUAAAUGCUGAAGGAGUCACUAGCUGGCAGUACGGCUGGUAUAAAGACAGUUCAGACAAUGCUUUCAGUGAACUACAGGAACACACAUUCAGUCCUGUUACUGAGCUUGAAGCAGGUAAAUACUCCUGUAAAGGAUCAGAGAGAGGAGGAUCACGGACAUCACACCGCAGUGAAGAAGUUACACUGACAGUGUCAGAUGAAGCCCAGGCAGUUUUAAGUGUUUCUCCACAGACAUGGUUGACUAAAGGAGAUCCAGUGACUCUGAUCUGUGAGGUUAAAGGCUCAUCUACAGGCUGGACAUUCAGC